GCGAUGAUUUGAUUGAUUGUGAGCUGUAACUACGGGAAACUGUAGGUAAGGCGGGUAGUGUAAGGAUAUGUGAGUUGAGUAAGUUGCANACCUAUCAACUGGUAGUUAGGGUAAUGGCCUAACUAGGUGGCGACGGGAGACGGGGGAUUAGGGUUUGAUUCCGGAGAGGGAGCCUGAGAGAUGGCUACUACGUCCAAGGAUGGCAGCAGGCGCGAAACUUGCCUAAUCUUUUGUAGUAGGAGGCAGUGAUGAGACGUGAAUUUAGUGGUGCAUUGUAAAGAGAUGUACUGGUAUUGGAGGGCAAGUCGGGUGCCAGCA
rnacentral:rRNA from 1 species